AAAUAGGCCUAGCCGAAGUGAAAGGAGGAACAAUCUCUGCUUCUGGAAAGAACAUUACAACUGAGAUGGUUUGAAGAGGAAAGGAACCUGUGACUCUCGUUGUCUCCAGGAUUUCACCAUAAAUGGAAGAAAAUGAAAAAUUCACACUCAUGUCUGACAACGGGAGACCUCUAGAGGAGAGAGCUCAGCCCACGGGAAUGGGUCACACAUUGUGAAUUAUCAGGCAUGACUGAAGGGUGCUCUGGGGCCUGGCGCAUAUGUGACCUUUGCAGUUUGAAGACAAAAUUCUCCCAAGGGCGUAGAUAAGUGAGUCAAGGAAGCUACAGCCCUUGUUAACCUGCAUUUGAGUUUUGCUUAUAAAAAUAGAACCACAAAUGGAUAUUCUUUUUCCAACUAUUCAUUUCAAAAACAAGUCUAGGUUUCUAAAGGAAAGGUUAACAGCUUUUUCAUGGGUGACAAAAUGCUUUUGAACUUUUUUGAACUAACUUGAGCCUUUUUCAAAGACUUUCCACUCUUUGCACUGACUGUUGUUGCUGUCUACUGAGCUGAGAUUGAUUGGACUGGCACAUGUCUUCUUUCCACUACAUGUGACUGUGCUGAAUGCAGGAUUAGCAUCUUGGAUUGGUGUCACCAGCACUUAGCAGAGUGCCUGCCAAAGCACAAGUGCUCAAUAAACGCUUAUUGAGUUGAAAAUGACCAUUUUACCCUCCUGGAUGGC
rnacentral:lncRNA from 1 species